rnacentral:lncRNA from 1 species
UUUUGACACGUACAAACGCUUAGUGCAUACGCUAGUUCUUCCUCCAGAUUUUCACAGUUGCUCAAUUCCUCUUCCAGUUUUGCUCUUGGAAAAUGGGGAAUUUCCCUUUUUUCCCCCGAUUUCCCCUAGAAUUUUUGUAAAUUAACAUAGGCAUCCGAUCUCAGACCUUAUUGUCCAACGAUUUCACUUUUCUCUCUGGAUCUAAACUCUAUGCUGUGACAAGAUAGUUCCAUCACAAAUCUCUUGUUCAACUUGAAAGGUAAUUUAUAUUUCUUGUUUGCUGCAGAGAAAUGAUUUUUUUAAAAUGAAUUUAUUUGGCUCUAGGUAUUUUCCAGAUUGAUGUUGUGCAAAAAUUGUUUAUAUUGGGUAAAUUGCUUACUGCGACAGCUUGUGAACACUGGUGCUUAACCAAAAGUCCUAAAUUGACAGAAGUGCUAACAAUACUCUUAUUAAUGAAGACACGAGGAAAUGAGUUGAGUUGGAAAUGUGAUUUUUUCAAUUGAAGCACGACUAUAGAAGUGUAAGUCAUAUAGGUAUUCCUCUGUCCUAAUAGACUUGGUUGUUUUCUUUUUUUCCUGCGUAGAAAAACCUUAUUUGAACUGUAGGAAUGCAAUGAGUCUUCUUUAGUUUUGACACGUUCCCUUACCAGGGCUCCAACAAACGCUCAGCAUCUCGCUUCCUCCAGAUUUGCACAACCUCUAUCUGUUCUUCCUCCAAAUUUUCACACCUGCUCAACUGCUCUUCCAAUGUCCUUUGUCUCUUUCAGUCUUCUCUCUUCCUACACAGUUUAUUAGUGCUGGUUGUAGGUGAGUUUUGCUUUCUUAUUUUCCUGAUUUUAGGAAUAGUAAUUGCGUAAAAAUUAUUUAAAUUGGGUAAAACUGCGAAAGCUCUUAUGAUUUUUGGAAUAGCUGUUGCCUAG